rnacentral:rRNA from 1 species
UACGUAGGGUGCGAGCGUUGUCCGGAAUUAUUGGGCGUAAAGAGCUCGUAGGCGGUGUGUCACGUCGUUCGUGAAAACCUGCAGCUUAACUGUGGGCGUGCGGUCGAUACGGGCAUCACUGGAGUUCGGCAGGGGAGACUGGAAUUCCCGGUGUAGCGGUGAAAUGCGCAGAUAUCAGGAGGAACACCGGUGGCGAAGGCGGGUCUCUGGGCCGAUACUGACGCUGAGGAGCGAAAGCUAGGGGAGCGAACGGG